GACGAACGCUGGCGGCGUGCUUAACACAUGCAAGUCGAACGGAAAGGCCCUGCUUUUGUGGGGUGCUCGAGUGGCGAACGGGUGAGUAACACGUGAGUAACCUGCCCUUGACUUUGGGAUAACUUCAGGAAACUGGGGCUAAUACCGGAUAGGAGCUCCUGCUGCAUGGUGGGGGUUGGAAAGUUUCGGCGGUUGGGGAUGGACUCGCGGCUUAUCAGCUUGUUGGUGGGGUAGUGGCUUACCAAGGCUUUGACGGGUAGCCGGCCUGAGAGGGUGACCGGCCACAUUGGGACUGAGAUACGGCCCAGACUCCUACGGGAGGCAGCAGUGGGGAAUAUUGCAUAAUGGGCGGAAGCCUGAUGCAGCAACGCCGCGUGCGGGAUGACGGCCUUCGGGUUGUAAACCGCUUUCGCCUGUGACGAAGCGUGAGUGACGGUAAUGGGUAAAGAAGCACCGGCUAACUGCGUG
rnacentral:rRNA from 1 species